rnacentral:rRNA from 1 species
GACGAACGCUGGCGGCGUGCUUAACACAUGCAAGUCGAACGGAAAGGCCCUGCUUUUGUGGGGUGCUCGAGUGGCGAACGGGUGAGUAACACGUGAGUAACCUGCCCUUGACUUUGGGAUAACUUCAGGAAACUGGGGCUAAUACCGGAUAGGAGCUCCUGCUGCAUGGUGGGGGUUGGAAAGUUUCGGCGGUUGGGGAUGGACUCGCGGCUUAUCAGCUUGUUGGUGGGGUAGUGGCUUACCAAGGCUUUGACGGGUAGCCGGCCUGAGAGGGUGACCGGCCACAUUGGGACUGAGAUACGGCCCAGACUCCUACGGGAGGCAGCAGUGGGGAAUAUUGCACAAUGGGCGGAAGCCUGAUGCAGCAACGCCGCGUGCGGGAUGACGGCCUUCGGGUUGUAAACCGCUUUCGCCUGUGACGAAGCGUGAGUGACGGUAAUGGGUAAAGAAGCACCGGCUAACUACGUGCCAGCAGCCGCGGUGAUACGUAGGGUGCGAGCGUUGUCCGGAUUUAUUGGGCGUAAAGGGCUCGUAGGUGGUUGAUCGCGUCGGAAGUGUAAUCUUGGGGCUUAACCCUGAGCGUGCUUUCGAUACGGGUUGACUUGAGGAAGGUAGGGGAGAAUGGAAUUCCUGGUGGAGCGGUGGAAUGCGCAGAUAUCAGGAGGAACACCAGUGGCGAAGGCGGUUCUCUGGGCCUUUCCUGACGCUGAGGAGCGAAAGCGUGGGGAGCGAACAGGCUUAGAUACCCUGGUAGUCCACGCUGUAAACGGUGGGUACUAGGUGUGGGGUCCAUUCCACGGGUUCCGUGCCGUAGCUAACGCUUUAAGUACCCCGCCUGGGGAGUACGGCCGCAAGGCUAAAACUCAAAGGAAUUGACGGGGCCCCGCACAAGCGGCGGAGCAUGCGGAUUAAUUCGAUGCAACGCGUAGAACCUUACCUGGGUUUGACAUGGAUCGGGAGUGCUCAGAGAUGGGUGUGCCUCUUUUGGGGUCGGUUCACAGGUGGUGCAUGGCUGUCGUCAGCUCGUGUCGUGAGAUGUUGGGUUAAGUCCCGCAACGAGCGCAACCCUUGUUCACUGUUGCCAGCACGUUAUGGUGGGGACUCAGUGGAGACCGCCGGGGUCAACUCGGAGGAAGGUGGGGAUGACGUCAAGUCAUCAUGCCCCUUAUGUCCAGGGCUUCACGCAUGCUACAAUGGCUGGUACAGAGAGUGGCGAGCCUGUGAGGGUGAGCGAAUCUCGGAAAGCCGGUCUCAGUUCGGAUUGGGGUCUGCAACUCGACCUCAUGAAGUCGGAGUCGCUAGUAAUCGCAGAUCAGCAACGCUGUGGUGAAUACGUUCCCGGG